rnacentral:rRNA from 1 species
UACGAAGGGUGCAAGCGUUAAUCGGAAUUACUGGGCGUAAAGGGUGCGUAGGCGGUUCGUUAAGUCUGUUGUGAAAUCCCCGGGCUCAACCUGGGAAUGGCAAUGGAUACUGGCGGGCUAGAGUGUGUCAGAGGAUGGUGGAAUUCCCGGUGUAGCGGUGAAAUGCGUAGAGAUCGGGAGGAACAUCAGUGGCGAAGGCGGCCAUCUGGGACAACACUGACGCUGAAGCACGAAAGCGUGGGGAG